UUGGCUACACAUUGGAGUCAUUUGGGAAGCUAGAAAAAAAAAAUGCCCAGGACCUGGGCAAGACGGCUGAAUAAGAACAGCUCUGGUCUGCAGUUCCUAGCAAGAUCAACGCAGAAGGGAAGCUGGCAGCCUGGGCUCUUGGAGAUUGUAUCUGGUGCCGGAGAGGACUGGCUCCCACACUCAGUGAGGGAGGAAUUUUACUGACCCAGCAUCCAGAUGAACUUUGGUGAGGAGAGGAGGUGAGGAAGUCAAUGAGCCUUGCUUUUUCACUUGCAAUUACGGCAUUUCCUUUGGAAAUGGACAUAAGAGCCUGGUGGUUGAUGAUGGAAGAGAUGAAACUGUGAAGAGACCGAAGAAGCUAAUCUAUCAAUAGUUAAGAUUCCAUUUCUAAAAGAUCUUACUUUGAGUCUACCUAUGCCUGGG
rnacentral:lncRNA from 10 species